GGUUGACCUCGGAUCAGGUAGGAAUACCCGCUGAACUUAAGCAUAUCAAUAAGCGGAGGAAAAGAAACCAACAGGGAUUGCCUCAGUAACGGCGAGUGAAGCGGCAACAGCUCAAAUUUGAAAUCUGGCCUUGUGCCCGAGUUGUAAUUUGUAGAGGAUGCUUUCGGCGCGGCGCCUUCCGAGUUCCCUGGAACGGGACGCCAUAGAGGGUGAGAGCCCCGUAUGGUCGGAUGCCAAACCACUGUAAAGCUCCCUCGACGAGUCGAGUAGUUUGGGAAUGCUGCUCAAAAUGGGAGGUAAAUUUCUUCUAAAGCUAAAUACCGGCCAGAGACCGAUAGCGAAAAAGUAGAGUGAUCGAAAGAUGAAAAGCACUUUGAAAAGAGGGUUAAACAGCACGUGAAAUUGUUGAAAGGGAAGCGCUUGUGACCAGACCUGCGCCCUGGGGAUCAUCCGGCGUUCUCGCCGGUGCACUCCGCUGGGCUGCAGGCCAGCAUCGGUUCUCCUAGGGGGAUAAAAGCUUCGGGAACGUGGCUCCUUAGGGAGUGUUAUAGCCCGUUGCAUAAUACCCUUGGGGGGACCGAGGUACGCGCUCCGCAAGGAUGCUGGCGUAAUGGUCAUCAGCGACCCGUCUUGAAACACGGACCAAGGAGUCAAGCAUUAGGGCGAGUGUUUGGGUGCAAAACCCGCACGCGAAAUGAAAGUGAACGUAGGUGAGAGCUUCGGCGCAUCAUCGACCGAUCCUGAUGUUCUCGGAUGGAUUUGAGUAAGAGCCUUACCGCUUGGACCCGAAAGAUGGUGAACUAUGCCUGUAUAGGGUGAAGCCAGAGGAAACUCUGGUGGAGGCUCGCAGCGGUUCUGACGUGCAAAUCGAUCGUCAAAUAUGGGCAUGGGGGCGAAAGACUAAUCGAACUAUCUAGUAGCUGGUUACCGCCGAAGUUUCCCUCAGGAUAGCAGUGUUGUUUUCAGUUUUAUGAGGUAAAGCGAAUGAUUAGGGACUCGGGGGCGCUAUUUUGCCUUCAUCCAUUCUCAAACUUUAAAUAUGUAAGAAGCCCUUGUUACUUUGUUGAACGUGGGCCUUCGAAUGCAGCAACACUAGUGGGCCAUUUUUGGUAAGCAGAACUGGCGAUGCGGGAUGAACCGAACGCGGGGUUAAGGUGCCAGAGUGGACGCUCAUCAGACACCACAAAAGGCGUUAAUACAUCUUGACAGCAGGACGGUGGCCAUGGAAGUCGGAAUCCGCUAAGGACUGUGUAAGUGUUUUUCUCCCCUGGGCUUUUAUUCCCCGGGCAAUUUGCUCUGUUUUUUAAGGACAAACAUGCUAAUAAUUCUCUCAACAGGUAACAACUCACCUGCCGAAUGUAUUAGCCCUGAAAAUGGAUGGCGCUCAAGCGUCCCACCCAUACCCCGCCCUCAGGGUAGAAACGAUGCCCUGAGGAGUAGGCGGCCGCGGGGGCGGUGACGAAGCCCAGGGCGUGAGCCCGGGUCGAACCGCCCCUGGUGCAGAUCUUGGUGGUAGUAGCAAAUACUUCAAUGAGAACUUGAAGGACCGAAGUGGGGAAAGGUUCCAUGUGAACAGCGGUUGGACGUGGGUUAGCCGAUCCUAAGCCAUAGGGAAGUUCCGUUUCAAAGGGGCACUCGUGCCCCGCAUGGCGAAAGGGAAGCAGGUCAAUAUUCCUGCGCCUGGAUGCGGGUUUUUCGCGGCAACGCAACUGAACGCGGAGACGGCGGCGGGGGCCCCGGGCAGAGUUCUCUUUUCUUCUUAACGGUCUGCCACCCUGAAAACAGUUUGUCUGGAGAUAGGGUCCCAUGGCCGGAAGAGCCCAGCACCUCUGCUGGGUCCGGUGCGCCCCCGACGUCCCUUGAAAAUCCGCGGGAGGGAAUAAUUCUCGCGCCAGGUCGUACUCAUAACCGCAGC
rnacentral:rRNA from 1 species